rnacentral:lncRNA from 1 species
CCCAUAUCGCCCGACGAGGAGCCGGCGGCGGCGCCGCCCGGGGCGGACCCUCCUGAGCCAGACGGCGCCAGCGGGAGCUCCUCCGCGGAUCCGGAGUUAGACGACAGAACCUGCUCCUCGGAGGAGAGCUGCAGCUCCGGAGAGCCGGACCGCGUCACCGGCAGCGCCAUCGGGAUCGCCGCAGCGGCAACCGUCACGGCGCCAGCCGCGGCCGCGGCUGCGGCGGGCGCC